rnacentral:piRNA from 1 species
AUGUUCUGUAAGGAUUUUACAAAAAAAC